UGCGUAGGUGGCAAGGUAAGUUCGGUGUGAAAUCCCCGGGCUUAACCCGGAAAUGGCAUUGAAUACUAUCUUGCUCGAGGGUUGGAGGGGGACUGGAAUUCUCGGUGUAGCAGUGAAAUGCGUAGAUAUCGAGAGGAACACCAGUGGCGAAGGCGAGUCCCUGGACAACUCCUGACACUGAGGCACGAAAGCUAGGGGAGCAAACAG
rnacentral:rRNA from 1 species